rnacentral:lncRNA from 1 species
CUUUUUUUUAAACAAAAUAAAUGAUGGGUAAUAUUAUAUCUCUAGGCUAACUGAAGUAUUGAAGCUCCCUUUAUGAGUUUCCUUAUGAAUGCAAUCCAAUAUGGCGGAAAUGGUUUUAACGUCAAAUAAAACGCACAUCAACUGUUGAGAGCAGUGGCUCAAACCAAGUCGACAAAGAAGGAAGACACGCUGUCUACACCAAACUGCAGGAAGUCUUACCGGAGUCUGCAGCACAGAUGCAGGGACAUCACGCCGCACUUUCUUGGAUUUGGCACAGUACAACUCCAAAUGCUGGAGGUCACAUCCACGCACACAACACUGGUCUACAAUGCCUUUCCCACGAGAGCGAGGACCACCGCUACGAGCUGCUCCAGGUUUGCCUGAUCAUCAACAGACAAAUUGAAGUUUUAAUGUAUAAGAAUUAGAUGCAACAUUCAUAGUCCCAAUGUGGGAUCUUGCUGGACGACAAAUGAUGCCAUCUAUUCUUAAAAAUAAUUAGAUUACAUCAAAUUACCAUAAGUAAACAAUAAAGGUUAACAAUUUCAAAAACAGA